ACUUUUUGUCGUAGAACAGUACUACUGUCAAAAAAUUUACACUUCACUUUGGUUGGCGUUGGUCCUCAGCUAGAUAUUCUUUACCAUCAUCUUUCUACUCUUUGUAUCAAUUAACGGACAUAGAUCUUCUUGACUGUGACUUUUACCCUAUACCAACACUCAAAGGAGAAUUUCCCUGCCUCAAAAAAUUACACGUGCACACUCAAAAUCCCAAUGGAAAAAGUCUUGUACAUCUUUUAUCCUGUACUAAAGUAGAGCUUUAAUCUGAUGAUUACUUCUUGUUCUUGUAGGCCAUGUGAUACCAUCUCCGUGUUUGAGAUAUGCAAGCAUUUGUCUUCGAUUGAACAUAUGUCUCUUUGCAUGCACGCUUUCCAGGUUUAUGAAGAAGAAGCUCCACCAGAACUUCCAAGUGGAUUGGUCCACCUCAAAUAUUUGUGUUUACUCGAUACCCCAUUUUACAAAGCUUACAUUCUCUUGUUUUUUUGAUUAGAAUCUCACCCAAUUUGGAGAAAAUUAAGCUACAGUUGUGUGAAGCAUGGCAGCCGGUACAAGUAGAUUAUCCACAUAUUUGGCUGAAACAUCUGCGUGAAUUGGAGAUUACAAACUGUGGCAAAAAUAAAUAUCAUCUGGAGUUUCUGAAGUUUAUCUUGGCCAAGUCACGUGUGCUGAAGAAAGUGAGCAUAGCGUUUCACAAUAAGGUUUAUGUUCAUAGUGUUAAAGGGAUAGAGACCAUGAGAAUUCUCCUGCAAUUGCCAUGUGCAUCGUGGGUAGCAGACAUCAAUUUUGAGCAUCCUAUAUAUGACUUAGUUGGCUUCAAAUCGUUAUAUAUUUCCAGAUAACUUUUGGGGUUAAUUAUGAUA